rnacentral:rRNA from 1 species
GACGAACGCUGGCGGCGUGCCUAAUACAUGCAAGUUGAGCGAUGAAGAUUGGUGCUUGCCCCAAUUUGCAGAGCAGCGAACGGGUGAGUAACGCGUGGGGAAUCUGCCUUUGAGCGGGGGACAACAUUUGGAAACGAAUGCUAAUACCGCAUAACAACUUUAAACAUAAGUUUUAAGUUUGAAAGAUGCAAUUGCAUCACUCAAAGAUGAUCCCGCGUUGUAUUAGCUAGUUGGUGAGGUAAAGGCUCACCAAGGCGAUGAUACAUAGCCGACCUGAGAGGGUGAUCGGCCACAUUGGACUGAGACACGGCCCAAACUCCUACGGGAGGCAGCAGUAGGGAAUCUUCGGCAAUGACGAAAGUCUGACCGAGCAACGCCGCGUGAGGGAAGAAGGUUUUCGGAUCGUAAAACUCUGUUGGUAGAGAAGAACGUUGGUGAGAGUGGAAAGCUCAUCAAGUGACGGUAACUACCCAGAAAGGGACGGCUAACUACGCG